ACUAUUAUCCAGAACCAUGUAGUCACUGUGAGGCAACCAAUGCCUAAUUACCUAGCACAGACAAGCCAGUCCAGUUCAAGUGAUUACUAUUUAAAUUUUGCUGUCAUUUUGACUGUUCUUUGCUUCUUCUGUGGUACAUUUUUGGUUCUUUUGUGUACCAUUCCGGCCAUGGUAUUUGCUAGUCAAGCAAAAGAUGAAGAACUUCGUGGGGACACGGAAGCCGCAGAAAGAAGUCGCUGCUUAUCUCUGGCCUUCAGUGGGGGAGCAAUAGUAUUUGGUUGCGGUGUGGUCAUUUCUGCUUUACUGAUUAUAAUAUUUUCACAGCAACAUGAGUGACAAGAAAGACAAUAAUCAUUACAAUAA